GACGAACGCUGGCGGCGUGCUUAACACAUGCAAGUCGAACGGAAAGGCCCUGCUUUUGUGGGGUGCUCGAGUGGCGAACGGGUGAGUAACACGUGAGUAACCUGCCCUUGACUUUGGGAUAACUUCAGGAAACUGGGGCUAAUACCGGAUAGGAGCUCCUGCUGCAUGGUGGGGGUUGGAAAGUUUCGGCGGUUGGGGAUGGACUCGCGGCUUAUCAGCUUGUUGGUGGGGUAGUGGCUUACCAAGGCUUUGACGGGUAGCCGGCCUGAGAGGGUGACCGGCCACAUUGGGACUGAGAUACGGCCCAGACUUCUACGGGAGGCAGCAGUGGGGAAUAUUGCACAAUGGGCGGAAGCCUGAUGCAGCAACGCCGCGUGCGGGAUGAAGGCCUUCGGGUUGUAAACCGCUUUCGCCUGUGACGAAGCGUGAGUGACGGUAAUGGGUAAAGAAGCACCGGCUAACUACGUG
rnacentral:rRNA from 1 species